rnacentral:misc_RNA from 1 species
UGUAUGAGUUGUGWUUGGGWUGUUUUUGCUGGCUGGCUCCAUGCUCUUGCAUCGAACGGUUGGCAUGCAACUCGGUUUCAGUACACCCCGCACUCAGAUGCGGCGGUGCGUUGCCCCGGUUCCUGUGUUGCCUACCUCUCGAACGGUACUCGCGUGGCUUGUCGGGUUGGUCCAUCCAGUUCCCCCCCGAGGGGAUCUGGGGGAUUUCGAAGCGAUACACAUGCUCCACCCUAGCUCUCGUGAUUGAAGCAAUUGUGGCGCACAUGUAUCCGCUGCUCUCUCGGAUGCGGUGCAUGAGAUGAAACAUGGGAAAGAAACCUUCCCAUCCAGUCCCUCAAAUCUCGGUUGCCUCGAAUGACACUUGCCUUCCGUGCUUGCUUGCUCCCCUCUCGCGGCCGCACGCAAGCACCGAUGCGCAAAGAUGUUAAUGGACG